rnacentral:lncRNA from 1 species
UAAAUUUGAGCAGGUAUUGACAAUAUCCUUUACCUUGCUAUCUCAAAAGGUGCAUGAAUAAAUCUUACAAAAAUCUCAACACCUAAAGAAAAAAUCUAUAUAAUAAAUUAACUUAUAAAAACUUACAUCUAUGUCUUAUGUUAGUACAUAAUUUAAUUAUAGUAUAAGCUAUUCUUUAAUAAUAAAAUAGUCUCUAUACAAUUCACAAACAAAGACUUGAUUUUCUAUUAUAGCAACUGUAUACAUUAGUUUUUUGAAAAAAUCACACUUCAAUAAUUAAAGUUUUUUAUUGUCAAUCACUUCUUUUCAAAUGAUUUGAUCAACUUAAUAUAUUACUCUCUAAGAUAAAGUCAUCUUCAAGAAAAU